rnacentral:rRNA from 1 species
CUAAAGCGGGUGCUUACACUUGCAAGUCGAACGAUGAUGCCCAGCUUGCUGGGUGGAUUAGUGGCGAACGGGUGAGUAACACGUGAGUAACCUGCCCUUGACUUCGGGAUAACUCCGGGAAACCGGGGCUAAUACCGGAUAUGAGCUACCUUCGCAUGGGGGUGGUUGGAAAGUUUUUCGGUCAAGGAUGGGCUCGCGGCCUAUCAGCUUGUUGGUGGGGUGAUGGCCUACCAAGGCGACGACGGGUAGCCGGCCUGAGAGGGCGACCGGCCACACUGGGACUGAGACACGGCCCAGACUCCUACGGGAGGCAGCAGUGGGGAAUAUUGCACAAUGGGCGAAAGCCUGAUGCAGCGACGCCGCGUGAGGGAUGAAGGCCUUCGGGUUGUAAACCUCUUUCAGCAGGGAAGAAGCGCAAGUGACGGUACCUGCAGAAGAAGCGCCGGCUAACUACGUGCCAGCAGCCGCGGUAAUACGUAGGGCGCAAGCGUUGUCCGGAAUUAUUGGGCGUAAAGAGCUCGUAGGCGGUUUGUCGCGUCUGGUGUGAAAACUCGAGGCUCAACCUCGAGCUUGCAUCGGGUACGGGCAGACUAGAGUGCGGUAGGGGAGACUGGAAUUCCUGGUGUAGCGGUGGAAUGCGCAGAUAUCAGGAGGAACACCGAUGGCGAAGGCAGGUCUCUGGGCCGCAACUGACGCUGAGGAGCGAAAGCAUGGGGAGCGAACAGGAUUAGAUACCCUGGUAGUCCAUGCCGUAGACGUUGGGCACUAGGUGUGGGGCUCAUUCCACGAGUUCCGUGCCGCAGCAAACGCAUUAAGUGCCCCGCCUGGGGAGUACGGCCGCAAGGCUAAAACUCAAAGGAAUUGACGGGGGCCCGCACAAGCGGCGGAGCAUGCGGAUUAAUUCGAUGCAACGCGAAGAACCUUACCAAGGCUUGACAUGCACGGGAAGCCACCAGAGAUGGUGGUCUCUUUGGACACUCGUGCACAGGUGGUGCAUGGUUGUCGUCAGCUCGUGUCGUGAGAUGUUGGGGUUAAGUCCCGCAACGAGCGCAACCCUCGUCCCAUGUUGCCAGCGGGUUAUGCCGGGGACUCAUGGGAGACUGCCCGGGUCAACUCGGAGGAA